UGGUUGAAUCAGCGAAAACCCUGGAACCAAGGAAACUAAAGAGGCGGUGUUGUAGGUAGAGGAAGAGGUUGUGGUCAAAAGCCAAACAAGAGUCACAUUUAGUGUUACAAUUGUUAGAAGCAUGGUGUAGCGGUAAAUUCGUGACCAUCAAGCUAUGGAUAAACUUGAUGUCAAUAAAACCAGAGUCGCCACCGCACUUUUAU
rnacentral:lncRNA from 1 species